CGGCACCACUAACGCUUUGUUGAUUAGGACGGAUUGUGCCGCUGAUUUGUGCCUCAAUUUGUCGUGCUCAAAUUGUUUAUUAAAUAUUACGGUGUUAAUGGUAGGAGGACCGUGUCAAACAUGUAGUAAAUCAGGAUAAAGUAUUUAAUGCUGCAAUUUGAAUAUAUCCUGAAAAAAGUAGAAAUUCUAUUGAUUGACUUCGUAAUAUUGGCCCUUGUAGUAUCUAAAGCAGGGAAUAUACAGUUUCUCGACUAGAGACCACGUAGCUAUCCAGCUCCUAUUGGAAAGUGGCUUCCAGAAGACGACACUGUGUCUCAACAGAACAAGUCGUUAAACUGGCGAAGUUCCGUGAGAAGAAAGGUAAUACUGUUCCUUCUCAACUUCGAUAUUGACGUGCAUAAUAAGAUAGGUAUGUACGAAUAGGACGUAGGAUAUUCUCUACAAAGAAGACACUCCACAUAACAUCAACACGAAACCUUUAUAUCCGAAGCGUCCAGCUUCCGGUAUUCCGACUUGUUUAAGAUAAACUUACGGUGGAGACGAUAACUCGGUUGAAUGAAAUGACUCACAAUUAGCUUAACUCAACACGUGGCUGUACGCAGACAAGGCUGGAAGCAGAAGAACGAUUUCUCUCCAUGCGGUUCAUUCUGCCCCCAACCAACGGCACAUUCUCACCGCUAGUUCUCCACUCUCGUGGCGAGUUCUAAAAGGUGGAGAGUUCCGUGCCAUCUAUUUGUUCGCAUUCGCAACAUUCGAAAUAAAUUUCGAAUGCU
rnacentral:lncRNA from 1 species